UUUUAAAGUGAAAGGUGUUAGUGUUAGUUGUGUGUAGAGUUUACAAUGUUUUUAAGUUUUUAUGCUACGUGUUUCCUUUUAGUAUCUAUUGAUGCGUUUUUUCUACUUGAUGAUAAAGAGCCCUUCUUCUUUUGCUAUAAAGUUUGCCCGCUGUAUUGUUCACCACGGAGACGUUAUGACGACGAUACAUCGUCGUUAAUCUAUUCUGACGAUGAAUUGCCAUUCAUAUAUGAGGAACCCGAAGAGAUUUAUCCACACAGUUUUCACUUUUGUAAGCCCAAACCGACCACUUCAACAACGACACAAGCGACAACGACUACAACGGAAGAGCCGACAUUUAUCUGUCUAAUGUGUAAGAAGAAAUGCAAUAAAAAAUCUACUUAAGCAAAAAGGUUUUAUAAGAAAUAUGUGAAAUAGUCUAAUAAAUCAAUUAUUCAGUA